rnacentral:rRNA from 1 species
UACGUAGGGUGCAGGCGUUAAUCGGAAUUACUGGGCGUAAAGCGUGCGCAGGCGGUUUGCUAAGACAGGUGUGAAAUCCCCGGGCUUAACCUGGGAACUGCGCUUGUAACUGGCAAGCUAGAGUGUGGCAGAGGGGGGUGGAAUUCCACGUGUAGCAGUGAAAUGCGUAGAGAUGUGGAGGAACACCGAUGGCGAAGGCAGCGAACUGGCGCUUUAUCGACGCUCAGGCACGAAAGCAUGGGGAUCAAACAGG